rnacentral:rRNA from 1 species
CCUACGGGUGGCAGCAGUGGGGGAUAUUGCACAAUGGGGGGAACCCUGAUGCAGCGACGCCGCGUGGGUGAUGGAGCGUUUCGGCGCGUAAAGCCCUAUCGGCAGGGAAGAAGGGGGACGGUACCUGACUGAGAAGCCCCGGCUCACUACGGGACAGGAGCCGCGGCAAUACGCAGGGGGCCAGCGUGAUCCGGAUUUAGUGGGCGUAAUGGGGGCGUAGACGGUAGCGCAAGCCCGGAGUGAAAGCCCGGGGCCCAACCCCGGGACUGCUGUUGGAACUGCGUGGCUGGAGUGCAGGAGGGGCAGGCGGAAUGCCUGGUGUAGCGGUGAAAUGCGUAGAUAUCAGGAGGAACACCGGUGGCGAAGGCGGCCUGCUGG